CACACACACACACACACACACACACACACAAAAGGAUAAACAUGAUGAUGGGAUGGAAUAUAAGUGUAAAGAUGAAAUUUAAAAAAGGAUUCUAAAAAAGGAAUUGAUUAGGUAAGUUGGUUGGAAAAAGAAA